UUGACCUUCGAUCAGGUGGGAGUACCCGCUGAACUUAA
rnacentral:rRNA from 1 species